AUACGGAGGGUGCAAGCGUUAUCCGGAAUCAUUGGGUUUAAAGGGUCCGUAGGCGGAUUAUUAAGUCAGAGGUGAAAUCCCACAGCUUAACUGUGGAACUGCCUUUGAUACUGGUAGUCUUGAGUUAUAUGGAAGUAGAUAGAAUGUGUAGUGUAGCGGUGAAAUGCAUAGAUAUUACACAGAAUACCGAUUGCGAAGGCAGUCUACUACGUAUAUACUGACGCUAAUGGACGAAAGCGUGGGGAGCGAACAGGAUUAGAAACCCCAGUAGUCC
rnacentral:rRNA from 1 species